rnacentral:rRNA from 1 species
UUUUAUUUGAGAGUUUGAUCCUGGCUCAGGAUGAACGCUGGCGGCGUGCCUAACACAUGCAAGUUGAGCGAUUUACUUCGGUAAAGAGCGGCGGACGGGUGAGUAACGCGUGGGUAACCUACCCUGUACACACGGAUAACAUACCGAAAGGUAUGCUAAUACGGGAUAAUAUAUUUGAGAGGCAUCUCUUAAAUAUCAAAGGUGAGCCAGUACAGGAUGGACCCGCGUCUGNUUAGCUAGUUGGUAAGGUAACGGCUUACCAAGGC